rnacentral:rRNA from 2 species
GCUCAGAGCGAACGCUGGCGGCAGGCCUAACACAUGCAAGUCGAACGAACUCUUCGGAGUUAGUGGCGGACGGGUGAGUAACACGUGGGAACGUGCCUUUAGGUUCGGAAUAACUCAGGGAAACUUGUGCUAAUACCGAAUGUGCCCUUCGGGGGAAAGAUUUAUCGCCUUUAGAGCGGCCCGCGUCUGAUUAGCUAGUUGGUGAGGUAAUGGCUCACCAAGGCGACGAUCAGUAGCUGGUCUGAGAGGAUGAUCAGCCACAUUGGGACUGAGACACGGCCCAAACUCCUACGGGAGGCAGCAGUGGGGAAUCUUGCGCAAUGGGCGAAAGCCUGACGCAGCCAUGCCGCGUGAAUGAUGAAGGUCUUAGGAUUGUAAAAUUCUUUCACCGGGGACGAUAAUGACGGUACCCGGAGAAGAAGCCCCGGCUAACUUCGUGCCAGCAGCCGCGGUAAUACGAAGGGGGCUAGCGUUGCUCGGAAUUACUGGGCGUAAAGGGAGCGUAGGCGGACAUUUAAGUCAGGGGUGAAAUCCCGGGGCUCAACCUCGGAAUUGCCUUUGAUACUGGGUGUCUUGAGUAUGAGAGAGGUGUGUGGAACUCCGAGUGUAGAGGUGAAAUUCGUAGAUAUUCGGAAGAACACCAGUGGCGAAGGCGACACACUGGCUCAUUACUGACGCUGAGGCUCGAAAGCGUGGGGAGCAAACAGGAUUAGAUACCCUGGUAGUCCACGCCGUAAACGAUGAUUGCUAGUUGUCGGGAUGCAUGCAUUUCGGUGACGCAGCUAACGCAUAAGCAAUCCGCCUGCAGACGCACUGA